rnacentral:lncRNA from 1 species
UACGUCCUAUCUUUUUUCUCCCAAAAAUAUAAGUGUUAUCUUUUAAUUAAAUUGUUCUAUUAUUGUCAACGAGGGUUGGUUUAGUUGGUAUGGUCUAUGCACUGUGUGUAGCCUCAUCAGUGUUAGAGUCCUACUGUCAGUAGUCCUCGUUGGUGCGUGAUCUGUAAUUUCCUAUAUAAAUUCAUAUUGGUGGUAACUAGCAAUUGAGUACUACGCAUAAGUCCUUCCGGCUAAAGGUUGUGGCAGUGGCGGAAUUAUUAAGGCGCAAAGAGGUGCAUAAGUUUUUAUUUCUAGGCGUUGCUGCGUGCUCUCUCUCUCUCUUUUUUUAACUUGGCCAAAAUGAAUUCGUUUUGGACCAGGCUUUUUAAAACAUGCGCUGCCUUUUAAAAAUAAAUAAUAAUAAAAAAAUCCUGGCCAAAACAACAUCGUUUUGGACCAAGCUUAAAAAAAGAAAAAAAGAAAAAAAGAAACCUGCUGGCAUUUCAUGGGUUUAGGGCCUCCAUAAUUCCUUAUUUAAAUGAGAUUGUGAGCUCUCUUUAUUUAAUUAGGCUUGCACAAUUCCUUAUUUAAGUGGGAUUGUGAAUUCUCUUUAUAAAGGACCAAUUUAAAAUCACCUAAAUCUUGCGUUUUUUUUCCUUCUUAGGUACGCCAAUCCAAAGUAAGUCGGAUGCAUAUUUUUUUCUUCUUGAGCAAACACUAAUUUUGUUAUUCAUUCUUUUUUAUUUUUG